AUGACUGUCUGCUGGUCUGUCCUGGUCCAGGCCGUUCCUGGGGUUCUGAUAGUGGCCUCCCUUCCCAGCUCACCCCUGUAUUCGAAAGUGAUGGGUGCUGCGAGGGGACCCUCUGCCCCUCCUGGAGCUCCGGCGGCGGCGGAGGGACUUGCUGCUGGGACUCGGAGCCGGAGGGGCGCCACCCCAGAGCGGACAGACGAGAUCGUGAUAUUACCGCUGCGCACCUAUGCAGCCCCUCCACUGCUGCAGACACUCUUCACAACCGAGGGGCGAGAGAGAAUUCUGUUAGAGGCUAGAAAAAAUGUUCCUGGGGCCGACGGGCGACCCACGCAGUUGCAAAAUGAAAUUGACAUGGGAUUUCCCUUGACUCGCCCUGGUUGGGACUACAACACUGCUGAAGGUAGGGAGAGCUUGAAAAUCUAUCGCCAGGCUCUGGUGGCGGGUCUCCGGGGCGCCUCAAGACGGCCCACUAAUUUGGCUAAGGGGAGACGGGGUUCGGACCCCCUCCCCGAGCCCAGGGUAACUUUGAAGGUGGAGGGGCAACCAGUUGAGUUCCUGGUUGAUACCGGAGCGGAGCAUUCAGUGCUGCUACAGCCAUUAGGAAAACUAAAAGAUAAAAAAUUCUGGGUGAUGGGUGCCACAGGGCAACGGCAGUAUCCAUGGACUACCCGAAGAACCGUUGACUUGGGAGUGGGACGGGUAACCCACUCGUUUCUCGUCAUCCCUGAGUGCCCAAUACCCCUCCUAGGUGGAGACUUACUGACCAAGAUGGGAGCUCAAAUUUAUUUUGAACAAGGAAAACCAGAAGUGUCUGCGAAUAACAAACCCAUCACUGUGUUGACCCUCCAAUUAGAUGAUGAAUAUCGACUAUAUUCUCCCCUAGUAAAGCCUGAUCAAGAUAUACAGUCCUGGUUGGAGCAGUUUCCCCAAGCCUGGGCAGAAACCGCAGGGAUGGGUUUGGCAAAGCAAGUUCCCCCACAGGUUAUUCAGCUGAAGGCCAGUGCUACACCAGUAUCAGUCAGACAGUACCCCUUGAGUAGAGAGGCUCGAGAAGGAAUUUGGCCGCAUGUUCAAAGAUUAAUCCAACAGGGCAUCCUAGUUCCUGUCCGAUCCCCUUAGAAUACUCCCCUGCUACUGGUUAGGAAGCCUGGGACCAAUGAUUAUCGACCAGUACAGGACUUGAGAGAGGUCAAUAAAAGGGUGCAGGACAUAUACCCAACGGUCCCGAACCCUUAUAACCUCUUGAGCGCUCUCCCGCCCGAACGGAACUGGUACACAGUAUUGGACUUAAAAGAUGCCUUCUUCUGCCUGAGAUUACACCCCAGUAGCCAACCACUUUUUGCCUUUGAGUGGAGGGAUCCAGGUACAGGAAGAACCGGACAGCUCACCUGGACCCGACUGCCCCAAGGGUUCAAAAACUCCCCGACCAUCUUUGACGAAGCCCUACAUAGAGAUCUGGCCAACUUCAGGAUCCAACACCCCCAGGUGACCCUCCUCCAGUACGUGGAUGACCUGCUUCUAGCGGGAGCCACCAAACAGGACUGCUUAGAAGGUACGAAGGCACUACUACUGAAAUUGUCUGACCUAGGCUACCGAGCCUCAGCUAAAAAGGCCCAGAUUUGCAGGAGAGAGGUAACAUACUUGGGGUACAGUCUGCGGGAUGGGCAGCGAUGGCUGACGGAGGCACGGAAGAGAACUGUAGUCCAGAUACUGGCCCCAACCACAGCCAAGCAAGUGAGAGAGUUUUUGGGGACAGCUGGAUUUUGCAGACUGUGGAUCCCGGGGUUUACGACCUUAGCAGCCCCACUCUACCCGCUAACCAAAGAAAAAGGGGAGUUCUCCUGGGCUCCUGAGCACCAGAAGGCAUUUGAUGCUAUCAAAAAGGCCCUGCUGAGCACACCUGCUCUGGCCCUCCCUGAUGUAACUAAACCCUUUACCCUUUAUGUGGAUGAACGUAAGGGGGUAGCCCGGGGAGUUUUAACCCAAUCCCUAGGACCAUGGAGGAGACCUGUUGCCUACCUGUCAAAGAAGCUCGAUCCUGUAGCCAGUGGUUGGCCCAUAUGCCUGAAGGCUAUCGCAGCAGUGGCCAUACUGGUCAAGGACGCUGACAAAUUGACUUUGGGACAGAAUAUAACUGUAAUAGCCCCCCAUGCGUUGGAGAACAUUGUCCGGCAGCCCCCAGACCGAUGGAUGACCAACGCCCGCAUGACCCACUAUCAAAGCCUGCUUCUCACAGAGAGGAUCACGUUCACUCUACCAGCUGCUCUCAACCCUGCCACUCUUCUGCCUGAAGAGACUGAUGAACCAUUGACUCAUGAUUGCCAUCAACUAUUGAUUGAGGAGAUGGGUCCGCAAGGACCUUACAGACAUACCGCUGACUGGAGAAGUGCUGACCUGGUUCACUGAUGGGAGCAGCUAUGUAGUGGAAGGUGGAUCUGUGUACACAGGCUCCGUGGAGGUUCCUCUUCAUGUCAGCCAGGCGCUAGACCCUGGGGCCUCAGAUGUGUUGGUGGAAGGCUGAAACUCUGCAGUGGUGCUUUCAUUACUCGGUGACCCUGAAGAGGCAACACGGCGCCCCCUAGAGGCAUGACUGGCUCCCAGGUAACAGGUGACAUCUAGUUUGGCUGUGUAAACUGGGAGCUUGGGCCUGUUCCAUUGGGAUCCUCUGAGCUGUUACUUGAAGAUGGUGCUGGAAAGUAAUGCUUGUGGGCUUCUUCUAGAUUCAUCCACUGUGUGCACAGCAGCGGGACAGAAUGGAGAGGGAGGUCCCCACACGAAGCCUCACCAGGGCUCGCUGCCCUCUGCGCCGAGUCAUGGGAGAACCCUUCCCUCAGCACAGAGAUGAGGGGAAGCCCUGGGACUGGCAUCUCUUGAGUCCCGACACUGCCCUGGUUGGGGGGUGGGGGAGCUGUGGACAGGGAAGGCUGGCCCUGAGCCUCAAUGCUGCGCCUGGAUGACUUCAGCAACCAGGAGUUUUUCUCUUGAGUUGGCAGCUGCUUGUCAAUCUGCUCUCCACCCAUCCAUUCAAUAAACUGUACACAGUCAC